ACUCCUACGGGAGGCAGCAGUGGGAAGUAUUCACAAGGGAAAGGACCCUGUAGCCAUGCCGCGUGUGUGAAGAAGGCCUUCGGGUUGUAAAGCACUUUCAGUAGGGAGGAAGGUAGUGUAGUUAACACCUGCAUUAUUUGACGUUACCUACAGAAGAAGCACCGGCUAACUCCGUGCCAGCAGCCGCGGUAAUACGGAGGGUGCGAGCGUUAAUCGGAAUUACUGGGCGUAAAGCGCAUGCAGGCGGCCUGUUAAGUCAGAUGUGAAAGCCCGGGGCUU
rnacentral:rRNA from 1 species